rnacentral:rRNA from 1 species
UGACUGAGCGGUCGGACGGGUGAGUAACGCGUGGGUAACCUACCUCAUACAGGGGGAUAACAGUUAGAAAUGACUGCUAAUACCGCAUAAGCGCACAGUGCUGCAUGGCACAGUGUGAAAAACUCCGGUGGUAUGAGAUGGACCCGCGUUGGAUUAGGCAGUUGGCGGGGUAACGGCCCACCAAACCGACGAUCCAUAGCCGGCCUGAGAGGGUGAACGGCCACAUUGGGACUGAGACACGGCCCAAACUCCUACGGGAGGCAGCAGUGGGGAAUAUUGCACAAUGGGGGAAACCCUGAUGCAGCGACGCCGCGUGAGUGAAGAAGUAAUUCGUUAUGUAAAGCUCUAUCAGCAGGGAAGAAAAUGACGGUACCUGACUAAGAAGCCCCGGCUAACUACGUGCCAGCAGCCGCGGUAAUACGUAGGGGGCAAGCGUUAUCCGGAUUUACUGGGUGUAAAGGGAGCGUAGACGGCCGUGCAAGUCUGAUGUGAAAGGCUGGGGCUCAACCCCGGGACUGCAUUGGAAACUGUAUGGCUGGAGUGCCGGAGAGGUAAGCGGAAUUCCUAGUGUAGCGGUGAAAUGCGUAGAUAUUAGGAGGAACACCAGUGGCGAAGGCGGCUUACUGGACGGUAACUGACGUUGAGGCUCGAAAGCGUGGGGAGCAAACAGGAUUAGAUACCCUGGUAGUCCACGCCGUAAACGAUGAUUACUAGGUGUUGGGGGACAUGGUCCUUCGGUGCCGCCGCAAACGCAGUAAGUAAUCCACCUGGGGAGUACGUUCGCAAGAAUGAACUCAAAAGGAUUUGACGGGGACCCC